rnacentral:rRNA from 1 species
UACGGGGGGGGCAAGCGUUGUUCGGAUUUACUGGGCGUAAAGGGCUCGUAGGCGGCCAUCCAAGUCGGACGUGAAAUCCCCAGGCUCAACCUGGGAACUGCGUCCGAUACUGGUUGGCUUGAAGUCGGGAGAGGGAUGCGGAAUUCCAGGUGUAGCGGUGAAAUGCGUAGAUAUCUGGAGGAACACCGGUGGCGAAGGCGGCAUCCUGGACCGAUCUUGACGCUGAGGAGCGAAAGCUAAGGGAGCGAACGGG